rnacentral:rRNA from 1 species
AUUGAACGCUGGCGGCAGGCCUAACACAUGCAAGUCGAACGAGUGGCGGACGGGUGAGUAAUGUCUGGGAAACUGCCUGAUGGAGGGGGAUAACUACUGGAAACGGUAGAUAAAACCGCAUACCAUCGGAUGGGGCCAGAUGGGAUGAGCUAGUAGGUGGGGUAAAGGCUCACCUAGGCGACGAUCCCUAGCUGGUCUGAGAGGCUGACCAGCCACACUGGAACUGAGACACGGUCCAGACUCCUACGGGAGGCAGCAGUGGGGAAUAUUGCGCAAUGGGCGCAAGCCUGAUGCAGCAACGCCGCGUGUAUGAAGAAGGCCUUCGGGUUGUAAAGUACUGUCAGCGGGGAGGCGGUACCCGCAGAAGAAGCACCGGCUAACUCCGUGCCAGCAGCCGCGGUAAUUC